rnacentral:rRNA from 1 species
CCUACGGGUGGCAGCAGUGAGGAAUAUUGGUCAAUGGCCGCAGGGCUGAACCAGCCAAGUCGCGUGAGGGAUGACGGUCCUAUGGAUUGUAAACCUCUUUUGUCAGGGAGCAAAGGGCGCCACGUGUGGCGUUUUGCGAGUACCUGAAGAAAAAGCAUCGGCUAACUCCGUGCCAGCAGCCGCGGUAAUACGGAGGAUGCGAGCGUUAUCCGGAAUCAUUGGGAGUAAAGAGUUCGUAGGCGGUAUGUUAAGUCUGGUGUUAAAUGCAGAAGCUCAACUUCUGUUCGGCACUGGAUACUGGCAAACUAGAAUGCGGUAGAGGUAAAGGGAAUUCCUGGUGUAGCGGUGAAAUGCUUAGAUAUCAGGAGGAACAUCGGUGGCGUAAGCGCUUUACUGGGCCGUAAUUGACGCUGAGGAACGAAAGCCAGGGUAGCAAAUGGGAUUAGAUACCCUGGUAGUC